rnacentral:lncRNA from 1 species
GCAGUGUCCCUCUGCCCUGUCUGCCUGCAGUGCCCCGGGUGGGUGUAAGGGGCUGUCCCUUGGCUGUCCCCACGCAGGGGUGGAUGUGGAGACAGAGGCGAAGGACAGGAGUGACCUGUCCCUGCCAGGGCACCAGCUGGAGCUGCUGCAGGACGCCGUGCAGGCAGCCGCCGGGCGCCCCGUCAUCCUGCUGCUGUUCAACGCGGGGCCCCUGGACGUGGGCUGGGCACAGGCACACGACGGUGUGGGGGCCAUCCUGGCCUGCUUCUUCCCUGCCCAGGCCACUGGCUUGGCCAUUGCCAGGGUCCUGCUGGGCGAGGCGGGGGCCAGCCCGGGUGGGCGGCUGCCGGCCACGUGGCCUGCGGGCAUGCACCAGGUAAGGUGGGGGUUCUGGUGGCACCUGUAGCCCUUUCCUGCCUCGGUGGCCAGAGCAGUGGUGGGAUGCAGGGCUGGUGCUCGUCCAUGGCCACCCAGCCCUGCCCUGCUCCACUGCCCUGUGUCCUUCAGGUGCCGCCGAUGGAGAACUACACCAUGGAGGGACGGACGUACCGGUACUACAGGCAGGAGGCCCCGCUCUACCCCUUCGGGUACGGGCUCUCCUACACCACCUUCCACUAUCGGGACCUGGUGCUGAGCCCCCUGGUGCUGCCUGUCUGUGCCAACCUCACCGUGUCUGUGGUGCUGGAGAACACGGGGCCGCGCGACGGCGAGGAGGUGGUGCAGCUGUACCUGCGCUGGGAGCAGUCGUCCGUGCCGGUGCCACGCUGGCAGCUGGUGGCUUUCCGGCGCGUGGCUCUGCCGGCCGGCCGGGAGACCAAACUGUCCUUCCAGGUGCUGGCUGAGCAGCGCGCGG